GGUUCUCUCAGGUCUGCUGUGUCAGCUAUCUGCGCAGAGCCAGGACAGCACACAGAGGGAACACACACACACAGCCGACUGAUAUCAACAUUGAACAGAGCAGAACACCACACCGGUGACAUCUGACGACAUUGGUGACCCCGACCGCUGAUCUGACCAAAGACACCAGAAAAUAUCACAUCCUGAAGACACCAGAAGAUAUCUGUAUACAGUGAAGAAACCCCCAAGCAUCAAGAAAAGAAAAAUGAAGUGCUGCAUAAGUAAGAGACUGGUCAAAUACACCUCUGUCUACCAUAUAUGAACAAUUAAGUUAACAAUCAGCUAAAAACCACUUGCUGGACCAGGAUAAACUGUCAUUUAAUUUCAACUUGCUUACUGGGUAAAAACAACUAUAAUAUCGUUGUACUGUUGUAUUAUUGCUGUACAACAUUUACAAUGUGCAUAACCUUGCUAAACUGUUGAACCAACCCACAGGUAAAACUCAACAAAGGAAUGGCAGCAAACAACAUGAAGGCCAGGAGAAACAAAUUGGUUAAAAAAAAUUGUUACACAGUAACUACAAAUGAAGUAUAUAAAAUUCCCUGUUAGUACUGGUCACAAUUUGGGAUCAGUAACACUGCAUCCUAACGGAGGCACAUGUUAUUCAAAACAAUUUUGUUCAGUGUCUGGGUACCAAUACUACAUCCUGACACAGCAAUAUUUGAGAAAUUGGUUAUUGUCCACUCAGUAGGUUUUCUGAAAAACAAAAAUAACUGGAUCUACGUCAACUACUGGUGUACCACAGGGCAAUGCAAUCCGUGGAACAGAGAAGCUAGCCAUUCCUGUUUCCUGCCCAGCAAAGCUUAGCAGAGGGUGACAACCAGCAGUAA